UACGUAGGGCGCAAGCGUUAUCCGGAAUUAUUGGGCGUAAAGAGCUCGUAGGCGGUUUGUCGCGUCUGCUGUGAAAUCCCAGGGCUUAACCCUGGGCCUGCAGUGGGUACGGGCAAACUAGAGUGUCGGUAGGGGAGAUGGAAUUCCUGGUGUAGCGGUGAAAUGCGCAGAUAUCAGGAGGAACACCGGAGCGCAAGGCGGAUCUCUGGGCCUACCU
rnacentral:rRNA from 1 species